rnacentral:rRNA from 1 species
GGGGGGCGUGCUUACACAUGCAAGUCGAACGAUGAAGCCCUUCGGGGUGGAUUAGUGGCGAACGGGUGAGUAACACGUGGGCAAUCUGCCCUGCACUCUGGGACAAGCCCUGGAAACGGGGUCUAAUACCGGAUAUUGACCAUCUUGGGCAUCCUUGAUGGUGGAAAGCUCCGGCGGUGCAGGAUGAGCCCGCGGCCUAUCAGCUUGUUGGUGAGGUAAUGGCUCACCAAGGCGACGACGGGUAGCCGGCCAGGGCGACCGGCCACACUGGGACUGAGACACGGCCCAGACUCCUACGGGAGGCAGCAGUGGGGAAUAUUGCACAAUGGGCGAAAGCCUGAUGCAGCGACGCCGCGUGAGGGAUGACGGCCUUCGGGUUGUAAACCUCUUUCAGCAGGGAAGAAGCGAAAGUGACGGUACCUGCAGAAGAAGCGCCGGCUAACUACGUGCCAGCAGCCGCGGUAAUACGUAGGGCGCGAGCGUUGUCCGGAAUUAUUGGGCGUAAAGAGCUCGUAGGCGGCUUGUCACGUCGGUUGUGAAAGCCCGGGGCUUAACCCCGGGUCUGCAGUCGAUACGGGCAGGCUAGAGUUCGGUAGGGGAGAUCGGAAUUCCUGGUGUAGCGGUGAAAUGCGCAGAUAUCAGGAGGAACACCGGUGGCGAAGGCGGAUCUCUGGGCCGAUACUGACGCUGAGGAGCGAAAGCGUGGAGGAAAAAAAAGAAAAAAAGGGGUUU